rnacentral:lncRNA from 1 species
UACAGUGUACACAGGAGUGGGACCUUCUGUUCUUGAACUUAGGCUGUGGUGUGAUCACCCUUUUCUCUGCAUCCACCUGACAGGCUGGGACUUGGGCUAUGCUCUGGACAAGGCUGGCUGGUGCAAUGAUGCCCUCUAGAGGAUGGAUCAGGCCCAGUCACCACCUCAGAUUCAGUGCCUGCUGCUCUUCCUCUUUCCACUUGGCCCUGGUGACAGACAGAUAGAGGCCCAGCUGACGUGUCUAUCGGAACGACUUUAUUUCAGUACACUGGGCCCCACCAGGCAAUGUGGUUUGUGCGAGGCUGUGCGAGGGACAGGCUUGGGCUAAGAGAAGGGAGGUGAGUUGGUUAAGCGCACUGCAGUCCGCGGGGCGCUACGUUGCUUUCACACAUACCUGCUGCUGUGGCCCACACCUGGCAGGGGCCUUUGGUCAUAGGACGGCGUGGGGGAGAAUACUGUGUGAAGUCUGGGAUUGGGGUGGGUCUUGGUGUCACAGGUGAGGGUGCCGGUGAAGACAGGCUGGCCCCAGCUUUGCACCAUCUAGGCUGAAGGCCUUUGGACCACUCCUAGGAGUCAGGCCUGGCUCCAUUAGCUCCUGGCACUCUGGUCUGGCCCACUCCCUCCUUAACCAAGCAGGUCCAAGGUCAAGAAUGGCACAAGAUCAGCCCAGAGGGGGCCUUCCCACCUCUACAACCUAGUCCCCUGGUCAGCUACAGUGGCAAAAGGCAACUUGGUAAAUUGCAGCUUUCUCCAGUCUUAAGGGCACUGGCUCUCCAACACCCCUCCCUUGCUUAGGGGCCUCUGCCAAAGAAAAAUUUUACCUCCUGUUUCAGAAAAUCUAACCAGCAACCAGCCUGUUGAUUCCAGGGCAGUGAGCAAGAGGAAAAGGGAGAAAGAGCCUGGUGGGAGUGUCUUUGAGUGUAGCUUCCAAUCUCAAAUGGUCCUGGAACCUGUGGACACUGUCAGCUCACCAUCAGCUGGGAGAGGUGGGGCCCUGGAGGCUAAGCUUAGGUGCUGUAAACAUUAGUGUAGCAAGGCAGGAGGCAGCAAGCUCCCUCUCUCCAGCCCCUAACUGAACAAACACUUCAAUAAAUAAAACGGUUUGAAGAUGGCAUUGCAACAAGAACAGAUGGAAAGCGAGGUCCUGGAACCAGCAGGUGCCUUAAACUCUCCCAAGGCCCCCGAAAGGGGACUGGGCUGGGAACAUUAACUCUGCAGCCAUUCAGAGUGAGGACUGCUCCUGCCCUCCUCCAGUGGCCGGUGUGGUCCUGUUCCCUGGUGAACAUGAGGGCCUCCUGCUCUCUCCUGACUCCAGUCUCUGUAAUAGCUCUUGGGGUGCUUUUCCAGCCUCCCAAACCAAAAUGGCAACAAAACCAGACAGAACUCAACCCCAGUCCCAGUCCUCAGUGUGCAGUCAGGAGGCAUCGAUAGUGGAGGCAGCAGCUGCCUGGGGCCUCAGGCCAUCACCACUGCAGGUAGUUCAUCGUCCUUUCUGGGCCCAGGGUCCCAGGGCCACACGGCACUCGCAUGUGCACACACACUCAUAUCCACACACGCACUCACACACAGGCAGUUCCUCGCAAACACUCCGACUCAAGAAAGCGAGUUUUAAAGUGGAGUUAACUUCAGAGAGAGGUGAAGAUGAUGUCCCGACAUUAGAAGGUUUUUCUGUGGAUGGAUCGGGCACCGUCUUCCUCAUAUUCCUUUUUGGAGACCCACAUCUUCUUAAAGGUGUCCAGGGAGGCAAGGAUGGAGCCCCUG